rnacentral:rRNA from 1 species
ACGAACGCUGGCGGCGUGCUUAACACAUGCAAGUCGAACGAUGAAGCCUAGCUUGCUAGGUGGAUUAGUGGCGAACGGGUGAGUAAUACGUGAGUAACCUACCUUUAACUCUGGGAUAAGCCUGGGAAACUGGGUCUAAUACCGGAUACGACCAAUCUCCGCAUGGGGUGUUGGUGGAAAGCGUUAUGUAGUGGUUAUAGAUGGGCUCACGGCCUAUCAGCUUGUUGGUGAGGUAACGGCUCACCAAGGCGACGACGGGUAGCCGGCCUGAGAGGGUGACCGGCCACACUGGGACUGAGACACGGCCCAGACUCCUACGGGAGGCAGCAGUGGGGAAUAUUGCACAAUGGGCGCAAGCCUGAUGCAGCGACGCCGCGUGAGGGAUGACGGCCUUCGGGUUGUAAACCUCUGUUAGCAGGGAAGAAGAGAAAUUGACGGUACCUGCAGAGAAAGCGCCGGCUAACUACGU